GACGAACGCUGGCGGCGUGCUUAACACAUGCAAGUCGAACGGUGACCCAGGGCUUGCCCUGGUGAUCAGUGGCGAACGGGUGAGUAACACGUGGACAACCUGCCCCUGACUUCGGGAUAACUCCUCGAAAGAGGAGCUAAUACCGGAUACGACCACUUCGGACAUCCGAUGGUGGUGGAAAGUUUUUCGGUCAGGGAUGGGCCCGCGGCCUAUCAGCUAGUUGGUGGGGUAAUGGCCUACCAAGGCGACGACGGGUAGCCGGCCUGAGAGGGCGACCGGCCACACUGGGACUGAGACACGGCCCAGACUCCUACGGGAGGCAGCAGUGGGGAAUAUUGCGCAAUGGGCGAAAGCCUGACGCAGCGACGCCGCGUGAGGGAUGAAGGCCUUCGGGUUGUAACUCUUUCAGCAGGACGAAGCGAAAGUGACGGUACCUGCAGAAGAAGCACCGGCUAACUACGUGCCAGCAGCCGCGGUAAU
rnacentral:rRNA from 1 species